rnacentral:tRNA from 1 species
GGGCCUGUAGGUCAAUGGAUAGACUCCCCGGCUUCGGACCGGGUAAUGGGGGUUCGAAUCCCUCCGGGCCUA